rnacentral:lncRNA from 14 species
GUGUGAUUUUGGUCUUUACCUUUUUUUCUUGUUUUUAUUAUUUUUUAAACUUACUACAAUAAUCAUUUACUUGAAGUGUUUGGUCUUAGUUACAAUAAACAUCUUUCCAUGUCUGUACAGAUGGGAAAUGCACGGGGAACUGCAUAGAACAGGAUGGUUUAAGUUCGUCAUCUGUUCAUCACUUGAUAGAGAUCAAUAUAGAUUAGAGAUUUUGUGGCUAAUUGUGAAGAAAGCCAUUUUUGGAAUGCCUGGGCAGUACAAGCGUGAAUCACAGCAAGCCAUCGCUUCUGUCUCUCAACAUAUAUCAUGCAACUAUUUUCUUCCAUCCCUUUUGUAGUACAGUACAUUCUACAUUGUGAAUCAUUUUCAUGCAAAAAUAGAAACCAGCAAUGACUCUGCGUUCGCUUCACAACAGAGGAGCAAGAGCUGGCAUUCCGUAAUUAAAGCUCCAGAUUUACUGGUGGUGUAAUGAAUUGCUGCAGGUUUGGGUGUCAGCGAGAUUAACAG